UGGGGAAUUUUGGACAAUGGGCGCAAGCCUGAUCCAGCCAUGCCGCGUGCGGGAAGAAGGCCUUCGGGUUGUAAACCGCUUUUGUCAGGGAAGAAAUCUUCUGAGUUAAUACCUCGGGGAGGAUGACGGUACCUGAAGAAUAAGCACCGGCUAACCACGUGCCAGCAGCCGCGGUAAUACGUAGGGUGCAAGCGUUAAUCGGAAUUACUGGGCGUAAAUGCGUGCGCAGGCGGUUUUGUAAGACAGAGGUGAAAUCCCCGGGCUCAACCUGGGAACUGCCUUUGUGACUGCAAGGCUUGAGUGCGGCAGAGGGGGAUGGAAUUCCGCGUGUAGCAGUGAAAUGCGUAGAUAUGCGGAGGAACACCGAUGGCGAAGGCAAUCCCCUGGGCCUGCACUGACGCUCAUGCNCGAAAGCGUGGGGAGCAAACAGGAUUAGAU
rnacentral:rRNA from 1 species